rnacentral:rRNA from 1 species
UACGUAGGGGGCUAGCGUUGUCCGGAAUCAUUGGGCGUAAAGAGCGCGUAGGCGGCCAGAUAAGUCCGGUGUGAAAGUCAAAGGCUCAACCUUUGAAUGCCGCUGGAAACUGUCUGGCUAGAGUCCGGGAGGGGCGAGUGGAAUUCCUGGUGUAGCGGUGAAAUGCGCAGAUAUCAGGAGGAACACCAAUGGCGAAGGCGGCUCACUGGACCGGUACUGACGCUGAGGCGCGAAAGCGUGGGGAGCAAACGGG